UACGGGGGGGGCAAGCGUUGUUCGGAAUUAUUGGGCGUAAAGGGCGCGUAGGCGGCUUUGCAAGUGACGGGUGAAAGCCCUCGGCUUAACCGAGGAACUGCCUGUCAGACUGUGAGGCUUGAGACCGGGAGAGGUGAGUGGAAUUCCCAGUGUAGCGGUGAAAUGCGUAGAUAUUGGGAGGAACACCAGUGGCGAAGGCGGCUCACUGGACCGGAACUGACGCUGAGGCGCGAAAGCGUGGGGAGCAAACAGG
rnacentral:rRNA from 1 species